ensembl:lncRNA
GCAUUUUCUUUAGUCUGUAGGCACAAAUACUUUUGGAAGGUCACGUUCUGAACGCUUUGCUGUCCUAAUUGCUUAAAUUCAGGAUGAAAGGCAAUAUUGCCUUGCCUUAUUACAACACUGCAGACCAGAACACUAUUCCCAGUAGAGAACAGACGUUCACCCGAAACACACUGCAUGCUAAAGGACCUAAAGAAAGCAUGCAUCCUGACCUUCUAACGCAUUUUACCAUGUCAUUCUGCCUGCUAACUUUUAAAAAGUAGCGUACUUUAGCAGAAAGUGAGGUUUACUGUAGAGAAGCUUGAGGCAGAGAGUUGAGCUAUGAAGCACCCUGAGUGCCUGUGUUUCUAAAUAAUGAUUUAUAAUGUGUAGUAUCGGAGCCAGGGUUAUGAUCUGGAGUUAAAUCCGAGUUUGAGUACAUUCUGUACCCAUUAACAGUUGAUAGCGCAUGCUUGUCUAGAUCUGAACCAGCUUUAAACUAUAGGAAGGUUCGGGUUCGUCAUCGUAAAGAUCACUUUUGGAAAUCGAUUAUGCGCCAAUAUUUACGUGCUCCUCGCCGGCGAUCAAUCCGAGACUCGGGUCCAAUUUUUGACCCCAGUUUGAAGUAGAAACCUGACGCGUGACGCUCCGGAAUGGACAGACUAUACUAUAGUAACAUCACAUAGGCACGUUGUAGCGUGCGAAUAAUUAAAUUGGAAGCAGACAAGAACACUGAGAAACAAACUGUAACAAACUGGUAAGUUAACCCUUUCGCUUCGUAUUGAGGCACUAGUAACCUCCAUCCGGUUAGACGUUUCUUGCGAGUUUGAGUGUGGAGCGCGGCGCAACAUUUUGGCUAUUACCAAAAUUUUUAACUAAGCACUCCCAUCUACUGUCGCCAUUUUAUACAUAGAGGCGACUUCACGCGCCGCAUAUGAGUGGAAUAACAAGGCACGCUUCUCUCUACUAGAACUACUUUUGAAGACUGUUCGCGUCACCGAAAGAAAUCGCUUUCACUUCUUUGAAAAGUCAAAGUUCCCUACCUUUUCGUCGGCUCUGGUGACUGCAAAUGGAAAUCCGUUAUUGAUACAGAAAUAAAUAACAUUUAGGUUUCGCUCCGCUCCGGUUCUCGGGGGAACAGGAGGGGCCGAGACCUCUCCUCAGAUGAACCCUGUGAACUAACGUGAACCCGUCGGGUCACCGCGAUAAGGAGCAUCUACUGCUUUAUGGCACACUGGUUAUGUGCCCGGCUGACAUGGGCGCUGCUGGAGUGGCGAGAAGGGAAAGAAAUGACGGGCUGAGCAGACACACUGAAGGGAGUGACUCAUGCGCAAAUGUCUAAUAUAGCCAGAAAUAUGG